UAAAGGGUUUCCAGGGAUGAUGAGUGGUUCCUAUUGAUAUUGGAAGUGGCUUUUUAAUCUUGCCUUCCUUUCUCUGUGAGCAGAAGAAUUUGAUGGUGUCAGGUCCCCAGCACUGGCCUUUGGGCUCUUUAGAAACACGUGGAGAGAGGCUGGAAGUAUCACCCUGACUUCAAUCAGUCCAAUGCUGCACCCAUGUUUGAUUCUUGAGAUCGCCUGAGUGUAGAUGUGCCAACACGGGUUCUGGUUUUACCACAGCUAAUUCUCUUAUUUCAAAGAGCGGAAAUAUCCUCGGACAAAUCUGCUUUGUCAAGGUUGAAAACGUUCCACACCACAGAUGGUGACCAUAAGGU
rnacentral:lncRNA from 1 species